rnacentral:rRNA from 1 species
CUCGUAGGUGGCCAACUAAGUCAGACGUGAAAUCCCUCAGCUUAACUGGGGAACUGCGUCUGAUACUGGAUGGCUUGAGUUUUGGGAGAGGGAUGCGGAAUUCCAGGUGUAGCGGUGAAAUGCGUAGAUAUCUGGAGGAACACCGGUGGCGAAGGCGGCAUCCUGGACCAACACUGACACUGAGGAGCGAAAGCCAGGGAGCGAAC